ACCGCCUGACUUUUCUUCUUCCAUUAUUCAUCUGUUCGAUCAUAAAAUUCAGAGCUGUGUUGAGGGAGGGUUUGAGAAAAUUGGAAGCAGAGAUUAUGUAGUUUGGAGUUUGAAGAAGUUAAAGAAACUACAAGCUCAAAUCCUUUCUCUUGACAUAUUGAAUUCACGUCGCCAUUCUAUGGUUUUUAAGAUGAUUUGAACAACUUAGGAAGAAUUAAAAGGUUGGAUUCUGUUGUUGACGUUGAGUGUACUUCGUAACAACGAUGUUGUCGUGAGUGUUGAGCGGGCUCCACUACAACAAAGAUGAUGGGAAUGCUAGGUGGGCUCUACUACAUCGUAGAGCUAGUAAAUGUUGGAUAUACUGGGUGUGCCCUACACAACGUAGAUUUGUCAUGUUAUUAAAUGUUUAAUAUUCUUGAUAUGUCUUGCUAGAUUUCAAUGAAAAACUUGUUGAGUAUUUGAGUAACAUGUUAUUAGUACACGUUUAUAUUUAAGGUUUUGAUUAACUA